rnacentral:lncRNA from 1 species
UCCCAUGCCACAACAGCAAAAGGCAAAAGGCACUGGGACAUGAGAUCUUAAACUGAACAGUGGAGAGAGAGCUAUAAAUUACCUGGUCUUGAAUGAAGCAUGUCAUCUCCCAGUGUCUGCUUUCUCAUCAUCAAACAAACAAAAUACCUCAAGACAACGUCUGUUCACCACAGUGCCUGCAUCCUCCCUGCUUAGCCCAUAGCUUGGCUCCGACCCUUGGCGUUUCUGGUGACUAGCACUGGCCAUAGGGCUCACUAUCAGAGAAUAAAUGUGAUGAGAAGUGACA